rnacentral:rRNA from 1 species
UACAGAGGGGGCGAGCGUUAAUCGGAAUUACUGGGCGUAAAGCGUGCGCAGACGGUUGCGUAAGUCAGAUGUGAAAGCCCCGGGCUCAACCUGGGAAUUGCAUUUGAGACUGCGUAGCUAGGGUGCGGAAGAGGGAAGCGGAAUUUCCGGUGUAGCGGUGAAAUUCGUAGAUAUUCGGAAGAACACCAGUGGCGAAGGCGGCCAACUGGUCCGGCACUGACGCUGAGGUGCGAAAGCGUGGGGAGCAAACAGG